GCGCAUAGUACCGUGAGGGAAAGGUGAAAAGAACCCCGGGAGGGGAGUGAAAUAGAACCUGAAACCCUGCACUUACAAGCUGUGGGAGCACAUUACUUGUGUGACCGCGUACUUUUUGUAGAACGGGCCAACGAGUUACGUUAAGUAGCAAGGUUAAGCACUUAAGGUGUGGAGCCGUAGCGAAAGCGAGUCUUAAAUGGGCGAUUAAGUUACUUGGCGUAGACCCGAAACCGGGCGACCUAUCCAUGAGCAGGUUGAAGCGAAAGUAAAAUUUCGUGGAGGACCGAACCCACGAGCGUUGAAAAGCUCGGGGAUGACUUGUGGAUAGCGGAGAAAUUCCAAUCGAACCCGGAGAUAGCUGGUUCUCCCCGAAAUAGCUUUAGGGCUAGCCUCAAGCGUAGAGAAACGGAGGUAGAGCACUGAAUGUCCUAGGGGGUAUUGCACUUACCGAAGACUAUCAAACUCCGAAUGCCGUUUUCUUUUACUUGGGAGUCAGACUGUGGGUGAUAAGAUUCAUAGUCAAAAGGGCAACAGCCCAGAUCGUCAGCUAAGGUCCCUAAAUGUACGUUAAGUGGUAAAGGAUGUGGGAUUGCACAGACAACCAGGAUGUUGGCUUAGAAGCAGCCACUCAUUUAAAGAGUGCGUAAUAGCUCACUGGUCGAGUGAUCCUGCGCCGAAAAUUUCCGGGGCUAAAACGUACUACCGAAGCUACGGCAUCAUUUAUGAUGGGUAGGGGAGCUUCGUAUGCAGGCUGAAGCAUGACCGUAAGGACAUGUGGACAGUAUACGAGUGAGAAUGUUGGCAUGAGUAGCGAGACGUGGGUGAGAAUCCCACGGGCCGUAAACCCAAGGUUUCCAGGGGAAGGUUCGUCCGCCCUGGGUUAGUCGGGACCUAAGCCGAGGCCGAAAGGCGUAGGUGAUGGACAACAGGUUGAUAUUCCUGUACCGCCAAUAAGCGUUUGAGAGAUGGAGUGACACAGUAGGAUAAGCUAACCGUACUGUUGGUUAUGUACGGCUAAGCAUUGAGGCAGUCUAAAUAGGCAAAUCCGUUUAGACAAUGCUAGGAUGUGAUGGGGAAGCCCUUCGGGGCGAAGUAGCUGAUUUCACACUGUCAAGAAAAGCUUCUAUCGAGUUUAAAGGCGCCCGUACCGUAAACCGACACAGGUGGGUGAGGAGAGUAUCCUAAGGCCAGCGAGAGAACUAUUGUUAAGGAACUCGGCAAAAUGACCCCGUAACUUAGGGAGAAGGGGUGCCUGUCUAUGACAGGCCGCAGAGAAUAGGCCCAAGCGACUGUUUACCAAAAACACAGGUUUCUGCUAAGUCGCAAGACGAUGUAUAGGAGCUGACGCCUGCCCGGUGCUGGAAGGUUAAGGGGAUCUGUUAGAGCAAUCGAAGCAGUGAACUUAAGCCCCAGUAAACGGCGGCCGUAACUAUAACGGUCCUAAGGUAGCGAAAUUCCUUGUCGGGUAAGUUCCGACCCGCACGAAAGGCGUAACGAUUUGGGCACUGUCUCAACAACAGACUGGGUGAAAUUGUAAUACCGGUGAAGAUGCCGGUUACCUGCGACAGGACGGAAAGACCCCAUGGAGCUUUACUGUAGCUUGACGUUGGGUCUUGGUACUACAUGUACAGGAUAGGUGGGAGACUAUGAAGCAUGGACGCCAGUCUGUGUGGAGUCAUCCUUGGGAUACCACCCUUGUAGUACUGGGAUCCUAACCAUAGGCCUUGAAUCAGGUCUUGGAACACCGUCAGGUGGGCAGUUUGACUGGGGCGGUCGCCUCCUAAAAAGUAACGGAGGCGCUCAAAGGUUUCCUCAGCACGGUCGGAAAUCGUGCGAAGAGUGUAAAGGCAAAAGGAAGCUUGAUUGCAAGACAUACAGGUCGAGCAAGGACGAAAGUCGGACUUAGUGAUCCGGUGGUACCGCAUGGAAGGGCCAUCGCUCAACGGAUAAAAGCUACCCUGGGGAUAACAGGCUUAUCUCCCCCAAGAGUCCACAUCGACGGGGAGGUUUGGCACCUCGAUGUCGGCUCA
rnacentral:rRNA from 1 species